rnacentral:rRNA from 1 species
UACGAAGGGGGGCUAGCGUUGCUCGGAAUCACUGGGCGUAAAGCGUGCGCAGGCGGUUGUGCAAGACAGAUGUGAAAUCCCCGGGCUCAACCUGGGAACUGCAUUUGUGACUGCAAGGCUAGAGUACGGCAGAGGGGGAUGGAAUUCCGCGUGUAGCAGUGAAAUGCGUAGAUAUGCGGAGGAACACCAAUGGCGAAGGCAAUCCCCUGGGCCUGUACUGACGCUCAUGCACGAAAGCGUGGGGAGCAAACAGG